UACGUAGGGUGCGAGCGUUAAUCGGAAUUACUGGGCGUAAAGCGUGCGCAGGCGGUUCGUUGUGUCCGUCGUGAAAGCCCCGGGCUUAACCUGGGAAUGGCGAUGGAGACUGCGAGGCUAGAGUUUGGCAGAGGGGGGUAGAAUUCCACGUGUAGCAGUGAAAUGCGUAGAGAUGUGGAGGAACACCGAUGGCGAAGGCAGCCCCCUGGGUCAAAACUGACGCUCAUGCACGAAAGCGUGGGGAGCAAACAGG
rnacentral:rRNA from 1 species